rnacentral:rRNA from 1 species
GAACACAACUGGAAAGUUGGACCAUAGGAAGUAAUAGUCUUGUAAGUAAAAGCAAUAAUGAACAGUUCUGCUCCAGAGUACCACGAGACACGUGAAACCUUGUGGGAAGCAGGGAGGACCACCUCCCAAGGCUAAAUACUACCUGAUGACCGAUAGUGAAGCAGUACCGUGAGGGAAAGGUGAAAAGAACCCCGGGAGGGGAGUGAAAUAGAACCUGAAACCAUGUGCCUACAACCGAUCAAAGCACCUUAUGUGUGUGAUGAUGUGCUUUUUGUAGAACGAGCCAACGAGUUACGGUAUGUAGCGAGGUUAAGUACUUAAGGUACGGAGCCGAAGGGAAACCAAGUCUUAAUAGGGCGACUAGUUGCAUGCUGUAGACCCGAAACCGGGUGACCUAUCCAUGGCCAGGUUGAAGCGAGGGUAAAACCUCGUGGAGGACCGAACCACGUUGCUGUUGAAAAAGCAUGGGAUGAGCUGUGGAUAGCGGAGAAAUUCCAAUCGAACUCGGAUAUAGCUGGUUCUCCUCGAAAUAGCUUUAGGGCUAGCGUCGACAAAUGUGAGUAGUGGAGGUAGAGCACUGAAUGGGCUAGGGGGCAUAGCGCUUACCGAACCUUAUCAAACUCCGAAUGCCAUAUACUAUCAGGUCGGCAGUCAGACUAUGAAAGAUAAGUUCCAUGGUCAAAAGGGAAACAGCCCAGAUCGUCAGCUAAGGUCCCAAAGUGUAAGUUAAGUGGAAAAGGAUGUGGGAUUUCUAAGACAACUAGGAUGUUGGCUUAGAAGCAGCCAUUCAUUAAAAGAGUGCGUAAUAGCUCACUAGUCAAGAGAUCCUGCGCCGAAAAUGUCCGGGGCUCAAACUUACCACCGAAGCUACGGGUUCACACUUAGUGUGAGCGGUAGAGGAGCGUUGUAAUCGGGCUGAAGUCGUACCGUAAGGAGCGGUGGACUGAUUACAAGUGAGAAUGUUGGCAUUAGUAGCGAGAUGUAGGCGAGAAUCCUACAGGCCGAAUAUCUAAGGUUUCCUGGGUAAAGUUUGUCUUCCCAGGGUUAGUCGGGACCUAAGGCGAGGCCGAAAGGCGUAGUCGAUGGACAAUUGGUUGAUAUUCCAAUACCACUAUCAUCGUUAUUACCGAGGGUGUGACGGAGAAGGAUAGGAUGUGCUAGCUAUUGGAUGCUAGUCGAAGCGUUUAGGGAGUUAGAGGUANNNNNNNNNNNNNNNNNNNNNNNNNNNNNNNNNNNNNNNNNNNNNNNNNNNNNNNNNNNNNNNNNNNNNNNNNNNNNNNNNNNNNNNNNNNNNGAGUAGGCAAAUCCGCUCUAACAAUUCUGAGGCGUUAUAGGGAAGGUUCUACGGAACCGAAGUAUCUGAUUCCAUGCUUCCAAGAAAAGCAUCUAGGGAGAGAAGUAGUGCCCGUACCGCAAACCGACACAGGUAGAUGAGGAGAGAAUCCUAAGGCCGACGGAAGAAUUGCAGUUAAGGAACUAGGCAAAUUGACCCCGUAACUUCGGGAGAAGGGGUGCCUACGAAAGUAGGCCGCAGAGAAUAGGCACAAGCAACUGUUUAACAAAAACACAGGUCUCUGCUAAAGCGUAAGCUGAUGUAUAGGGGCUGACGCCUGCCCGGUGCUGGAAGGUUAAGGGGAACACUUAGCGCAAGCGAAGGUGUGAACUUAAGCCCCAGUAAACGGCGGCCGUAACUAUAACGGUCCUAAGGUAGCGAAAUUCCUUGUCAGGUAAGUUCUGACCCGCACGAAUGGCGUAAUGACUUGUGCACUGUCUCAACUGCAAAUCCGGCGAAGUUGUAGUGCGAGUGAAGAUGCUCGCUACCCGCGAUUGGACGGAAAGACCCCGUAGAGCUUUACUGUAGCUUAGCAUUGAAUUUCGGUAUUGUCUGUACAGGAUAGGUGGGAGACUGGGAAAUCAGGGCGUCAGCCUUGAUGGAGUCGUUGUUGGGAUACCACCCUGAUAGUAUUGAAAUUCUAACUGGAUGCCAUGAAACUGGUGACAGGACAUUGUUAGGUGGGCAGUUUGACUGGGGCGGUCGCCUCCUAAAAUGUAACGGAGGCGCCCAAAGGUUCCCUCAGAACGGUCGGAAAUCGUUCGAAGAGUGUAAAGGCAGAAGGGAGCCUGACUGCGAGACCUACAAGUCGAGCAGGGACGAAAGUCGGGCUUAGUGAUCCGGUGGUACCUCGUGGGAGGGCCAUCGCUCAACGGAUAAAAGCUACCUCGGGGAUAACAGGCUGAUCUCCCCCAAGAGUUCACAUCGACGGGGAGGUUUGGCACCUCGAUGUCGGCUCGUCGCAUCCUGGGGCUGAAGUAGGUCCCAAGGGUUGGGCUGUUCGCCCAUUAAAGCGGCACGCGAGCUGGGUUCAGAACGUCGUGAGACAGUUCGGUCCCUAUCCGUCGCGGGCGUAGGAAAUUUGAGAGGAGCUGUCCUUAGUACGAGAGGACCGGGAUGGACUGACCUAUGGUGUACCAGUUGUUUCGCCAGAAGCAUUGCUGGGUAGCUAAGUCGGGAAGGGAUAAACGCUGAAAGCAUCUAAGUGUGAAGCCCACCUCAAGAUGAGAUUUCCCAUAGCAUAAGCUAGUAAGACCCCUUGAAGACUACAAGGUUGAUAGGUCAGAGGUGUAAGUGCGGUAACGUAUUUAGCUGACUGAUACUAAUAGGUCGAGGGCUUGACCAA